AUCUUUCUAGUAUCAAAGCAAGUAUAAGUGACUUCCAAUCACCAGGUCUUGGUUAAACCCCAAGGAAAGAUA
rnacentral:tRNA from 1 species